rnacentral:lncRNA from 1 species
GUGUAAAAGACUUCAGGAUAGUAGAAAGUUUGAAAAUGACAAGAGACUCCUAAAUGUAAGAGAUGAAAGUCUGUUUCAGUCUUAACAUUAGGAUUCAUCGAACUUGUUUUCAACCCUAAAGAUGUCAUUUUAAGUGAUUGUCACUAUUUCUAUCUCAUUGAUGGUGUCAAUAAGUAUGAUUAUUGUAAUAUCUUGUGAAUGAUACUAUAAUAAUGAGUGAAAAAUUAAAAAUGACAUAAACUCGGUACCAUAG